UACGUAGGGCGCGAGCGUUGUCCGGAAUUAUUGGGCGUAAAGAGCUCGUAGGCGGCUUGGCAAGUCGGGUGUGAAAACUCCAGGCUCAACCUGGAGACGCCACCCGAUACUGCCAUGGCUUGAGUCCGGUAGGGGACCACGGAAUUCCUGGUGUAGCGGUGAAAUGCGCAGAUAUCAGGAGGAACACCGGUGGCGAAGGCGGUGGUCUGGGCCGGUACUGACGCUGAGGAGCGAAAGCGUGGGGAGCGAACAGG
rnacentral:rRNA from 1 species